rnacentral:sRNA from 1 species
UCAGGGGGCUCACUGUGGGGAGAGGGAGGGACGCUGGGGCAGAGGGAGCAGCUGUGACCCACUGAAGGGGGAGGAUUGUGCAGGCCCCAUUUACUCACUCCCCCACCAGCUCUACUUCUUUACCUCCCUUUUAAAAGCCCUGAUCUCUUUCUGCCUUCUCUCCAAGUCUCAUCUGACACCUCCUCUUCCCCGCUUCAUGAUGCGGGAGCCAGCCUUGGGUCAGCUUAAAGAGCCCCUUCGUGUACAGUAAAUCCCCUUGCCCAUGGAUUCAUUCAGAAGCAGUGAAUGGAGUGGGCACAUGUUCAGGCCUCAGGAUGCUGGGUUGGGACAGCGAGUCGCUGAAGAGCACUUAUGACUCACAGUACAUCUCUUCAGGUCACCGUUGAGGAGGACAGCUAUCUUGCCCAUCCCACUCGAGACAGGGCAAAAAUCCAACAUUCCCGCCGCCCCCCAACAAGGGGACACCUAAUGGCUGUGGCUUCCACCUCUACCUCAGAUGGGAUGCUGACCUUGGACUUGAUCCAAGAGGAAGACCCUUCUCCUGAGGAACCAACCUCUUGUGCUGAGAGCUUUCGGGUUGACCUGGACAAGUCUGUGGCCCAGCUGGCAGGGAGCCGGCGGAGAGCAGACUCAGACCGCAUUCAG